rnacentral:rRNA from 1 species
AACGAGCGCAACCCUUUUCCUUAUUUGCCAGCGAGUAAUGUCGGGAACUUUAAGGAUACUGCCAGUGACAAACUGGAGGAAGGCGGGGACGACGUCAAGUCAUCAUGGCCCUUACGGCCAGGGCUACACACGUGCUACAAUGGUCGGUACAAAGGGUUGCUACCUAGCGAUAGGAUGCUAAUCUCAAAAAGCCGAUCGUAGUCCGGAUUGGAGUCUGCAACUCGACUCCAUGAAGUCGGAAUCGCUAGUAAUCGCGGAUCAGAAUGCCGCGGUGAAUACGUUCCCGGGUCUUGUACACACCG